rnacentral:misc_RNA from 1 species
CUGUGAUCGCACAUGGGCGAGCAAACCCACCACCAUCCACAACCCCUUCCUCAACCCCAACCCCAACCCCGGCCUCAGCCCCAAUCCCAAUCCCAAUCCCAAAUCCAAGCCCAGGUACAAACGCAGCCGCAGCCCCACCAUGACCCUAUCACUUCCUCUACCGCCACCACUGAAUUAAUCAGUAUUCCUCAGCAAACCAUCUCUCCUCCAGCCAAAAUUCCCCCUUCGCGGCCUCGCAAAGUCCGUAAACUCUCUCCAGACGAUGCUGCAACCACCGGUAACGACACCAAUUCUUCGCAAAUAACCGCCACCACCAGCGAUCCCCCCCAAACCACAGCGAAAUCCGCCAAAAUCAAAGCCACCCAACAGCGAGC